rnacentral:rRNA from 1 species
UCCUGGCUCAGAUUGAACGCUGGCGGCAGGCUUAACACAUGCAAGUCGAGCGGGGAUAGGGUGCUUGCACCUGAUUCCUAGCGGCGGACGGGUGAGUAAUGCUUAGGAAUCUGCCUAUUAGUGGGGGACAACGUUCCGAAAGGGACGCUAAUACCGCAUACGUCCUACGGGAGAAAGCAGGGGAUCUUCGGACCUUGCGCUAAUAGAUGAGCCUAAGUCGGAUUAGCUAGUUGGUGGGGUAAAGGCCUACCAAGGCGACGAUCUGUAGCGGGUCUGAGAGGAUGAUCCGCCACACUGGGACUGAGACACGGCCCAGACUCCUACGGGAGGCAGCAGUGGGGAAUAUUGGACAAUGGGGGCAACCCUGAUCCAGCCAUGCCGCGUGUGUGAAGAAGGCCUUUUGGUUGUAAAGCACUUUAAGCGAGGAGGAGGCUUACCUGGUUAAUACCCGGGAUAAGUGGACGUUACUCGCAGAAUAAGCACCGGCUAACUCUGUGCCAGCAGCGGC